AUUGAACGCUGGCGGCAGGCCUAACACAUGCAAGUCGAGCGGAUGAAGGGAGCUUGCUCCUGGAUUCAGCGGCGGACGGGUGAGUAAUGCCUAGGAACCUGCCUGGUAGUGUGGGAUAACGUCCGGAAACGGGCGCUAAUACCGCAUACGUCCUGAGGGAGAAAGUGGGGGAUCUUCGGACCUCACGCUAUCAGAUGAGCCUAGGUCGGAUUAGCUAGUUGGUGGGGUAAAGGCCUACCAAGGCGACGAUCCGUAACUGGUCUGAGAGGAUGAUCAGUCACACUGGAACUGAGACACGGUCCAGACUCCUACGGGAGGCAGCAGUGGGGAAUAUUGGACAAUGGGCGAAAGCCUGAUCCAGCCAUGCCGCGUGUGUGAAGAAGGUCUUCGGAUUGUAAAGCACUUUAAGUUGGGAGGAAGGGCAGUAAGUUAAUACCUUGCUGUUUUGACGUUACCAACAGAAUAAGCACCGGCUAACUUCGUG
rnacentral:rRNA from 1 species